rnacentral:rRNA from 1 species
UACGUAGGGGGCUAGCGUUGUCCGGAAUCAUUGGGCGUAAAGAGCGUGUAGGCGGCCCGGUAAGUCCGCUGUGAAAGUCAAAGGCUCAACCUUUGAAUGUCAGCGGAUACUGCCGGGCUAGAGUCCGGAAGAGGAGAAUGGAAUUCCCGGUGUAGCGGUGAAAUGCGUAGAUAUCGGUAGGAACACCAGUGGCGAAGGCGGUCUUCUGGAGCACUCUGACGCUGAGGCGCGAAAGCUGGGGGAGCGAACGGG